rnacentral:rRNA from 1 species
GACGAACGCUGGCGGCGUGCUUAACACAUGCAAGUCGAACGGAAAGGCCCUGCUUUUGUGGGGUGCUCGAGUGGCGAACGGGUGAGUAACACGUGAGUAACCUGCCCUUGACUUUGGGAUAACUUCAGGAAACUGGGGCUAAUACCGGAUAGGAGCUCCUGCUGCAUGGUGGGGGUUGGAAAGUUUCGGCGGUUGGGGAUGGACUCGCGGCUUAUCAGCUUGUUGGUGGGGUAGUGGCUUACCAAGGCUUUGACGGGUAGCCGGCCUGAGAGGGUGACCGGCCACAUUGGGACUGAGAUACGGCCCAGACUCCUACGGGAGGCAGCAGUGGGGAAUAUUGCACAAUGGGCGGAAGCCUGAUGCAGCAACGCCGCGUGCGGGAUGACGGCUUUCGGGUUGUAAACCGCUUUCGCCUGUGACGAAGCGUGAGUGACGGUAAUGGGUAAAGAAGCACCAGCUAACUACGUG